UGAGUAACCUGCCCUUCACUCUGGGAUAACUCCGGGAAACCGGGGCUAAUACUGGAUAUGACUCGAACAGGCAUCUGUUUCGGGUGGAAAGAUUUAUUGGUGGAGGAUGGACUCGCGGCCUAUCAGCUUGUUGGUGAGGUAAUGGCUCACCAAGGCGACGACGGGUAGCCGGCCUGAGAGGGCGAUCGGCCACACUGGGACUGAGACACGGCCCAGACUCCUGCGGGAGNA
rnacentral:rRNA from 1 species